GGGGCCGUAGCUCAGUUGGGAGAGCGCCUGCAUGGCAUGCAGGAAGUCACGAGUUCGAGUCUCGUCGGCUCCA
rnacentral:tRNA from 1 species